UACGAAGGGGGCUAGCGUUGUUCGGAGUUACUGGGCGUAAAGGGCGCGUAGGCGGCCCUCCAAGUCGGGCGUGAAAGCCCACGGCUCAACCGUGGAAUUGCGCUCGAGACUGAAGGGCUCGAGGACGGGAGAGGAUGGUGGAAUUCCCAGUGUAGAGGUGAAAUUCGUAGAGAUCCGGAGGAACACCGACGGCGUAGGCAGCGCCCUGGACGACACCUGACGCUGAGGCACGAAAGCUGGGGGAGCGAACAGG
rnacentral:rRNA from 1 species